UCGUUCCUGACCUGGUUUGUUCCUCGUUUUCUGAGCCUGCCUGAUCCCCAUUGGUACCUCUGCCUGCUUCUGCUACACUGGUUUUCGACUUUCUGCCUGGACUCACGUCGGGUUCCCCUCGUGUGCUCCCGACCCGGGCAGAGAGCUCCCCUUACUGGAUUCGGACGUCGUGACGAAUUCACACUGUCUAACCUGUGAGGAUUCUCUAAAGAAACCUUUUUGUGAACUGUUUUUUUUUGUCCGUGUUUAAUAAACACUCAUUAACUUUA